AAGUCGUAACAAGGUUUCCGUAGGUGAACCUGCGGAAGGAUCAUUACGAAAGGUGAGGUGCCCCCCGGGGCGCCUCUAUACCUCAACCCUUUGUUUUCAUACCAUUGUUGCUUUGGCGGGCCGCGGGGGCAUUUGCUCCCCCACCGGUUUCGACCGGCGUGAGCCUGCCAGAGUCCAAGUAAAACUCAUCAACCAUCAUCUGAACAUCAUUUAAAUAAAUCAAAACUUUCAACAACGGAUCUCUCGGUUCUAGCAUCGAUGAAGAACGCAGCGAAAUGCGAUAAGUAAUGUGAAUUGCAGAAAUCGUGAAUCAUUGAAUCUUUGAACGCACAUUGCGCCCUUUGGUAUUCCGAGGGGCAUGCCUGUUCGAGCGUCAUUACAACCCUCAAGCUCUGCUUGGUAUUGGGAGGCCGUCGCCUAAGACGCCCCCGAAAAUUAGCGGCGAUGCUGCCGGGCUCUUAAGCGCAUUAACUACUAUUCCGCUCUAAAGGCCUCAGGUAUUCGGCCGAACAACCAACCGAACUUUUCAAUAGUUGACCUCGAAUCAGGUAGGGAUACCCGCUGAACUUAAGCAUAUUAAUAAGCGGAGGAAAAGAAACCAACAGGGAUUGCCUCAGUAACGGCGAGUGAAGCGGCAAUAGCUCAAAUUUGAAAUCUGGCCCCCGGCCCGAGUUGUAAUUUGUAGAGGAUGUUUCGGACAAGCACCGGUCUAAGUCUCCUGGAACGGAGCGUCAUAGAGGGUGAGAAUCCCGUAUGUGACCGGCCAGCGAGUCAAUGUGAAUCUCCUUCGACGAGUCGAGUUGUUUGGGAAUGCAGCUCAAAAUUGGAGGUAAAUGCCUUCUAAAGCUAAAUACUGGCUAGAGACCGAUAGCGCACAAGUAGAGUGAUCGAAAGAUGAAAAGCACUUUGAAAAGAGAGUUAAAAAGUACGUGAAAUUGUUGAAAGGGAAGCGCCUGCAAUCAGACUUGCCCUGGAGUAUUCAGCCUUUGGUGUAUUUACCCCGGGUCAGGCCAAUAUCGAUUUAGGUGGCCGAACAAAGGCUCAGGGAACGUAGCUCCUCUCGGGGAGUGUUAUAGCCCGGGCGUAAUGCGGCCCACCUGGAUCGAGGACAGCGUUCGCUAGGAUAUUGGCGUAAUGGUUGCUGGCGACC
rnacentral:rRNA from 1 species